GCAACUUCCUGUGGAGCACCAAGCAGGCCCCAUCCUGGGAGGCCUGAUUCUGCUCAGUAAGCUUGCUCUGGAUUUUUCCUGAGACUAAAACCUUGAGGAGAUAAACUGUCCCAUGAAUGGUGAAUUUCAUGGUGACAGGACAGUUUCUGUUUGUGUUUGGGUUCUCUGGGCAGAAACCCUGAGCUCAGAGGGGAACCCCACCCACGACAUCAGAGCCCUCGGGCUGGGUCAUAUGACCUCAGUUGGCCCUGUGACCGAGCAUUUCUCUUGGUGACAUCAUCUCCACUCAGACUGCCCAGGUAUUUCAUGGCCUCUUGGGACCAGCAGGAAGUUGCAUCAUCUCCCAUGCAUGACUCUUAAUUUGUUUGUCUUUGUUUAAUUGUCAACCUGCACUGGGGGCCAGAGACAAAAUCAGACAGCCAGGCAGCAAACAUUUCCUACAGGGAGCUGCCUUGGCUGGGCCCUGGACUUCCCCAGCUCUGCCGGCCCGAGACCCUGAUGUCUUGGGACAGACCUCAGCUUCCGAAGCUCUCUAGAUCCGCCUCGAUGGCCCCAGCUACUGAGUCCCAGGCCUGUGUGUGCUCCUGUCUCCGCUCACAGCUCACUGUGUCCGGCCUGCCCAGCACCAGGGCUGCCUGAGGGAAGAAGAGACCAAGGCUGGCAGGGGGACCUCCCCGGGGAUCCAGAGCUGACUUCAUUGGCUCCCUCGCCCACCCGCAUGGCGCCCUUUGUCACCGGGAAGCCGAGUCUUGAUGUACAAGGAACAGGUCUGCUGUCAUCUCACAUCUGCCUGCCCAGUGCCCCUCUGCCAGGAGAUGGAGGUGGACCCACUGUCCUGGGUGCAGAGGAGGCACUCAAGCACAGAGUGUCCGGAAUCAAAGAAUUGCCUGCAGAGAACCCAGAUUGCAGCUCCCCUAGGGUCUUGCUAUGCAUUCCAGGCUGGCCUUGAAUUCAUGGCAUUCCUCCUGCCUCAGCCUCCCCAGCGCUGGGAAUACAGCUUGGCUGCUAUAGCCCAGCCCUGGACCUCUUCUGAUUCUGGGUGCUGCCUGAUACCUGAAUCAUUCUGCCCUCAAAUUAACUCUGUUGAGUUUAUUUUGUCUAAAGUAUGUUGCUGUUGUUGUUAAUACCUUAUCUGUAAACUGGAAACAACUACACGAACUUCACCCAGUCCACAAGAAUUAAAUGAAAAAUCACAACUGAAUCACUUAGCAAAGUACCCAGCAGAGAGUUAAUGCUCACAAAUACUGUUAGUACAAAUCUUUGUUCUGUAUAACGGCCCAGCAUGCCAUACCGGGCUUUGUUCUGUAUAACUGCCCAGGAUGCCAUACCGGGCUCAACAGUUUGGGGGGUGCUUAUUCCACAGUCCUCUCUGCUGGAUCCAAGUUCUAAGGUUCUCUGGUUGCCCUCUCCUGCCCCAGGUUCUCACCACCCAAGCUCCCUUGGGCCCAAGUUGAACCAACUUCCUGCUCCUUGCAGCCCAAGUCCCCUUACCCACUGACACCCCCGCCCCCAGCCCCGGCACCAGGCAGGGAAGGAAGGACCCAGCUCCUGUGCAGUCGCCCCGCUUGCUUGCUGUGGCCUUGAGCAGUGCUCUGGAAGUCUCUUCUUCACCUCCUCAUGGAGAGCGGGGCAGGUUGCACAUACGCGCACUCCCAACACUCCGGGAGGCUGAGGCCGGAGGAUCGAAGCCAAGUCCCCUUCUUGUGAAUCUGCCCCAUCCCAGGAGUAGAAAUGAGUCUCUCCAGCAGCAGCUGUUCCAUACCUGAGCAUCAUUCCCUUCCCUUCGAGGAUCCCCCAGGAUGGUGCCUGUGGGGGUCUCCUCCGCCCCUUCCCUCAUGCUGACCUGAGGCCAUUCCCCCAGCACCACCUUCUCUCUGGCUUCUCUCUACACAGCCAACCCCUGGCCGCCCUCGGGCACCCCGUGGGUGUCACUUUGUCCAGGACAGCUCUCGGUGCCAUGGCAGCACUGCACUGGCACCAGGGGCUGGGCUGGGAGUCGGGUGCAGAGGGGAGAGAGGAGGUCCCGGAUCUGCCAGAGCACAGUGCAGAAGCCAAGGUGACAGAGGAAGAGGAGCCCCAGGUACUGCACACGCUCAGGGAACCCAGCCUAAGCCCAGGAGGCCCUGGAACUGGCACGUGGGGGUCACGGGUGCCUGGCCUGGAGCAAGGCCCCGUGUGGCCUCCUGUAAAGGAAGCUGUCACAGAGGAGCAGUCUGCAGGGUCCCUGGCAGUCAGCUGGCAGCAGCAAAUCUCCAAAGCCAGCGCCAACUCAGCUGGCGGUGCAGGCCCAGCCUGGGGGAGGAGGGGUCACAGGACCUGGUGGCGGGCAGACAGCACCAGCCCUGGCUCUC
rnacentral:lncRNA from 1 species